rnacentral:misc_RNA from 1 species
UAAUAAGUGUUCUACUGCACUUUUUAAAAAUAGUACUCACCUUGUGUGCAAUGUUUGUUGAACUCUCUCGAGAGUUUGACACUUAUACCAACCUUUUAUAUUUUGAACCAUUUUUGUCUGAAAAAACAUUUAUGAAUACUUAAUUCUAAAUA